rnacentral:rRNA from 1 species
GAUGAACGCUGGCGGCGUGCCUAAUACAUGCAAGUCUAUCGAGCCGCGGACGGGUUAGUAACACGUCGAUAACCUCCUAUCUGACUGGGAUAACUUCGGGAAACCGUAGCUAAACCGGAUACUUAUAUUUGUAUCCGCGCUGCAUUAGCUAGUUGGUAAGGUAACGGCUUACCAAGGCAACGAUGCAUAGCCGACCUGAGAGAGUGAUCGGCUAAACGGGAACUGAGACCCGGCCCAGACUCCUACGGGAGGAAGCAGUAGGGAAGUUUCAGCGAUGGGCGAAAGAAUGACGGAGCAACACGGCGUGAGCGAGGAAGGUCUUCGGAUCGUAAAACUCUGUUAUUAGGUAAGAGGUAACUAAACAGAAAGCCACGGCUAACUACGUGCCAGCCGCCGCGGUAAUAC